rnacentral:rRNA from 1 species
AUGGACGUGCGGCGCAGAUCACAGCCCGAUAGAGCGCAGCACGGCGGGGUUCACGGCGGUGGUGGCGCCGUCGACGACGAGGUUGUGGCCGCUGAUGAAGCCGGCCUGGUCGGACGCGAGGAACAGCGCCGCUUCCGCCACGUCGGCCGCGCGCAGCACCUUCCCGCGCAGCACGUUGUGGGCCUCUGUCAUGGCCUCCAUCUCCUCGGCUCCCACGCCCACCACGGCGCAGCUGAGCGGCGUCGCCACUCCGCCGGGCGACACGAGGUUGACGCGCACGCCGUGCCGCCCGAGCUCGCCCGCCGCGGCGCGCACCAGGCCCAGCAGCGCGUGCUUGGACGCCGUGUACGACGCCGGGCCGAACCCGCCCUGCACGCACGCCACGCUCCCCGUGCACACGAUGGCGCCCCGGACGCCGGCCGCCACCAUGGCGCGGGCCGCGUGCUUGACGCACGCUGCGGCGCCCCGGAAGUUGACGGCCAUGACGCGGUCCAGCGCGGACAGGUCCAUGUCCGUGACGGGGCCCGUCGGGAGCAGCACGCCGGCGUUGCUGAGCAUGACGUCGAGCCGGCCGUGCGCCGCGACGGCCGCCGCCACCGUGGCCUCCACCUGGGCCUCGUCCGUCACGUCGCACCGCGCGUACGUGCAGCACGCGCCGGACUCCGCGAUGGAGGCCGCGACCGCCUCGCCCAGCGCGUCCUGUAUGUCCGCGAUGACCACCGUGGCGCCGCUGGCCGCGAAGAGCCGCGCGGCCGCCUCGCCGAUGCCGCUCGCGCCGCCCGUCACGAUGGCCACCUUGCCGUCCAACCUCGGCCUCGACAUGGUGACGCCGACUGCUCCGCCCUGCACAGCACCACACCGCACCGCACGCGGUUAACUUAUGCCGGAACAAACGAUGUGCUGUGGAGAAGUGUUGUUUUUCACCAUCUGUGCCGUGGGUGUGUUUAUAUAGGGCUUCGUUUACUUCAAACAAAUGCAACCGCGUCAGCAUUAUAUACUAUAAUCAGGGUAAUAUAA